GAUGAACGCUGGCGGCGUGCCUAAUACAUGCAAGUCGAGCGAACAGAGGAGGAGUUUGCUCCUCUGACGUUAGCGGCGGACGGGAGAGUAACACGGGGAUAACCUACCUAUAAGACGGGGAUAACUUCGGGAAACUGGAUCUAAUACCGGAUAAGAUAUUGAACCGCAUGGUUCAAUAGUGAAAUACAGUUUUGUCACUACUUAAAGAUGGUUCGGCGCCGCAGUUAGUAGUUGGUAAGGUAGCGUUUUACAACGACAACGAUUCGUAGCCGAGCGGGGGGGGGGAUCGGCCACACUGGAACUGAGACACGCCCAAGACUCCUACGGGAGGAAGAAGUAGGGAAUCUUGCGAAAUGGGCGAAAGCUUGCCGGGGAAACGCCGGGUGAGUAAUGAAGGUCUCCGGAUCGUAAAAUUCUGUUAUUGGGGAGGAAGAAAUGUGUAGGUAACUAUGCACGUCUUGACGGUACCUAAUCAGAAAGGCACGGCUAACUACGUG
rnacentral:rRNA from 1 species